rnacentral:lncRNA from 1 species
GGAACAGCGGCGGAAGUUUUGAAGACUCGGCCCGAGCUCGGUCACUGAGUGUCGUGCAGACAAGCAAAGCAGCGGAGAUGCGGCCCCUGGACGCAGUGGAGCUGGCGGAGCCCGAGGAGGUGGAGGUGCUGGAGCCGGAGGAGGACUUCGAGCAGUUUCUGCUGCCCGUCAUCCACGAGAUGCGCGAGGACAUCGCGUCGCUGACGCGCGAGCGCGGACGCGCGCCCGUGCGCAACCGGGGCAAGCUGUGGGAGAUGGACAAUAUGCUGAUCCAGAUCAAGACGCAGGUAGAGGCCUCUGAGGAGAGCGCUCUCAACCACCUGCAGGGCGCGGGCGGCGCCGAGCCCCGCGGCCCCAGGGCGGAGAAGGCCGACGAGAAGGCGCAGGAGAUGGCGAAGAUGGCCGAGAUGCUGGUGCAGCUCGUGCGGCGGAUAGAGAAGAGCGAGUCUUCGUGAGCCGUCCGCGGUAAGGGCGGGAGCCUGGUGGGGCGUGGGCGACUGAGGGGAGGAGGCUGGCUUGUCGCCCCGGAGUAAACUAGGCCCCUCUGGGGAAGGUGUAUAGCAAAUUGUCGGUGGGGAGACCCUGGAAGAUUCCAGAUUGUGCUGGAAAGCAUGAGGCCCUGAGCAAGGCAAUCUCCAGGAGGGUCCGGGUGUUUGCUCUACUGUCCUGCGUGAUUAACCUUUCGGUGAUGCAUCUCUCCCGCCCGUGCUUUAGGUUUCCAGCCAAUGGAUUCUGGUUGAGUGAUGGCGAUUGGCUGACAUGACACCCUGGAGAAGCUGAAACCAGAGAGCCUUUGUUUUCCUUUUUUCUUUCUUUAUUUUUUUUUCUUUUCCCCUCUGUCUUCACUCUGUUCUCACUGACACUACGUUUCUGCUAUGGUCUGCGGUUGACGACCUCGAUAUGAGUUUUUGAUUAUUCAGUGGUUCCUUUUUUUUUGUUUGUUUGGGGAAAAUAACUUUGAUUUGGAAAAUGCGCUCACAUACGGGAAUUAGGGCCUAGAUUGUAAGCCCUGUGGCAGUUGAAUAACGUUCAUUCCUGGGCUUUGGUUGUUGUUCCUGAAUUUUGAGGUGCUUUGCUCUUUCUUGGGUGACCUGAUAGCUCCCUGAACUUUGGGUCCCUGUGACACUUGAGACUUGGAGUUGGAGCUCACCGCCUCUGAAAGUUCUGAAGAAGCUGCGUUAAUUCUAGAAGAGGACUCCAUGCAGCAAUGGCAGAAGAAGGGCCCAGACUUCAUCUGGGACUGUGGAUGGGCCUUACACGGCUAGGACUGAUGACCUGGGAGAAGGGUCGGAGGAUUGUAUUGUUUCUAUGGGGGGACUUUAAUUUCUGUGUGAGACCAAAGGAGGAGAGAUGUAUUUUGUGCAAAUUUUAAAUUUUAUGUGCUACACUAUCUAUUAUAACCUGCCUGAUGAGUUUGUUGGGACAGCCUAACUCAUUUUUAAAUGAAACGGAACCCGGUAUGGGAGAUGAGGUCUUGUUCGUCUGUACAAGUUGGUAUCCCCAUAUAUUUGAGGAGAUCCUGGGCGUAAAAUGAAAGAUCCUUGCAAUACCCUUUGUGUACUGAGAAGGAAAACCUGCAAUGGACCCAAAACUUCAAGGAAGAGGCGUCUUCAAGGUUCAUAUGUAGUCAAGCUAUAAAUGUGUGGCAGACCUGAUAAGCAUUUGAGGUCAAAACCCUUACCAUGUUGAAAACAAAAUCUUACAUGUUAAUAAAAGUAUCGUUUGCUUGAAAAGAUAAGCCCAGAG